UAUACUUUUAGGACUAGUGAAUGAAAAUCAAAAGGUGGCAUCUCUGCAUCUCUGAAGUUCUGAGGAGAAAUCAUAUGGAGAACACACUGCUAGCUUGGGUAUCACCAGUGUUCUUUGCUGGCUGAAAGGAUUUGAGAAGCAGAUUGACACAGUGGAAAUUCAGUCAAGCCACAUGCCUGCAAGAGAGGUCAUGA
rnacentral:lncRNA from 1 species